rnacentral:rRNA from 1 species
UACGUAGGGUGCGAGCGUUGUCCGGAAUUAUUGGGCGUAAAGAGCUCGUAGGCGGUCUGUCGCGUCGGCCGUGAAAACCUGCAGCUUAACUGUGGGCGUGCGGUCGAUACGGGCAUCACUGGAGUUCGGCAGGGGAGACUGGAAUUCCUGGUGUAGCGGUGAAAUGCGCAGAUAUCAGGAGGAACACCGGUGGCGAAGGCGGGUCUCUGGGCCGAUACUGACGCUGAGGAGCGAAAGCGUGGGGAGCGAACAGG